rnacentral:rRNA from 1 species
UACGUAGGGUGCGAGCGUUUAAUCGGAAUUACUGGGCGUAAAGUGUGCGCAGGUGGCCGCGCAAGUCGAGUGUGAAAUCCCCCGAGCUUAACUUGGGAAUUGCGCUCGAAACUACGUGGCUAGAGUGUGGCAGAGGGAGGUGGAAUUCCACGUGUAGCGGGUGAAAAUGCGUAGAGAUGUGGAGGAACACCAAUGGCGAAGGCAGCCUCCUGGGCCAACACUGACACUCAUGCACGAAAAGCGUGGGGGAGCAAACAGG